rnacentral:rRNA from 1 species
UACGUAGGCAGCAAGCGUUGUUCGGAGUUACUGGGCGUAAAGGGUGUGUAGGCGGUUCUUUAAGUUUGGUGUGAAAUCUCCCGGCUCAACCGGGAGGGUGCGCCGAAUACUGAGGGACUAGAGUGCGGGAGAGGAAAGUGGAAUUCCUGGUGUAGCGGUGAAAUGCGUAGAUAUCAGGAGGAACACCGGUGGUGUAGACGGCUUUCUGGACCGUAACUGACGCUGAGACACGAAAGCGUGGGUAGCAAACAGGG